rnacentral:rRNA from 1 species
AACGAACGCUGGCGGCAGGCCUAACACAUGCAAGUCGAACGCCGUAGCAAUACGGAGUGGCAGACGGGUGAGUAACACGUGGGAACAUACCCUUCGGUUCGGAAUAACUCAGGGAAACGUUGAGCUAAUACCGGAUACGUCCGCGAGGAGAAAGAUUCAUCGCCGGAGGAUUGGCCCGCGUCUGAUUAGCUUGUUGGUGAGGUAACGGCUCACCAAGGCGACGAUCAGUAGCNGGUCUGAGAGGAUGAUCAGCCACAUUGGG